CCUACGGGAGGCAGCAGUGGGGAAUUUUGCGCAAUGCUCGUAAGAGUGACGCAGCGACGCCGCGUGAAUGACGAAGGUCUUCGGGUCGUAAAGUUCUUUCGAUAGGGAAGAAAAUGCCUAUAAGUAACUGUUUAUGUCUUGACGGUACCUGUAUAAGCAGCCCCGGAUAACUCCGUGUCAGCAGCCGCGGUAAUACGGAGGGGGCGAGCGUUAUUCGGAGUGACUGGGUGUAAAGAGUACGUAGGCGGUGUUGUAAGUCAUUAGUCAAAGACUAGAGCUCAACUUUAGUAAGGCUAGUGAUACUGUAAUACUAGAGUAUCGGAGAGGAUGGUAGAAUUCCUGGUGUAGCGGUGAGAUGCGUAGAUAUCAGGAGGAAUACCGUUAGCGAAGGCGACAAUCUGG
rnacentral:rRNA from 1 species